UGGUCUCCACCGUGCCCCCCGGGACUGGCCAUAGUAGUAUCGAGGGGUAUAAAUCCCUCACUACUACUAAGUUGAUAGUAGUAGCGAGGGGUAUAAACCCCUCGCUACUACUAAGUGGUCUCUACCGUACCCCCAGGAUAGGCUGUAGUAGUAGCGUGGGGUAUAAACCUGGCGCCACUGCUAUCAACCCACCAAGACAUGUGUACACAUAGCGCGCGGAGGCCCAAACCCGAACCCACACUCUCUUAAUUCCCCUUCUCCCUCCCACCCGUGAUGCCCUUCCUCACCCACCGCCACCACUGGCCUCGCACCUCGGCAUCUCCCCCAAAUCCGGCGACCUCCUCUCCCACCGCAGCCCCCCUCACCUUCGCCUCCUUCCUCCUCCUUCUUCGGUGCCAGAAGGAGAGGGAGAUCCAGCAGAGCGACGCCAAUGGCGAUGGCCAGAUCUGCCACGCAACCACUUGCACUUCCUCGCCGAGACAUGGCCUUGUGAGGACAUGAGGUCCCAGGAAAAGAAGCAGCAGGUCACCGGGCAUCAUCUAGGGUUUCGGGUAUCGGCUCCAACUCCGGUGGCCACCGUUCAAUACUCCUAGGUAUGCCCCUUAAUUUGUAAUUUAUGAGUAAUCAAAAGGGUGCAAAUCUACUUGUCAACCUCCGAUCAUCCGUCGAAAAUCUGAGAAGGCACUGAGCAAGGUAGAAGGAUAUUUAUUUAGGAAGGCGAGUGAUAAUGCUCGCCAUAUGGUGACUGUACAUCCUCAGUUCCUCACUAGCUGAGCUGAAUUACGAUGGAUUUUCGAGGUUGGAUUCCACAUGACAUCUUUACAUGGUUGUCUUAUGUUGGAAAUGGUUUCUGAACUCUGAACUCAGAACUGGUAUCCACUUCUUUUAUCUGCUUCUCUAUUAGGAAGGGAUAAAGGAAGCUGUUCUCUGAACUCGACAAUUGUUCAGACUGUUAUGUUUUCUGCUUAAUUUCCCGAAGAGAGAUGUUGGCACGCACCUAACCUAGGCGAAACAAGUCAUCAGUCAUCAUGGGAAAGCAAGUAUGGUGGAAAUUAUGUUUUGUCUUAUGCUAUUCUCUGCAGUACUUAUGUUCCCCUUUUCGCUUUUCAGAUGCUACGUACAUAGUAGUAGAACAAAAUAUCAUUGUGGGAAAAAUCCUGUGCUGGAAAUUCUGUCGAUGGUAAGGAUAAAAGGUUUCUGUGCUGAAUUUUGGUUGGCGCAAAUCCAGGACCGCAAGUCUUGUGUUGGAAGUCGUGUGUUUGGCUGCAUCUUGGGGAGAGAAUUCAAGCAGCAGCAUCUUGGCCACACAAACUGAAGAGAAGUUUCAGGCUCAAAUGGGUUGAAUCGGUAAAAUUCUAGUACAGGUCGCUCUCUGUACGUCUGGCCAUGUACGUGUUGAUUUGCCAUGUACGACAACAUUCCCAGCACAGGACUGCAAACCUUUUUGCGCAAGUCUUGUGGGAAGUGCUGGAAUUCUAUUGAUGGUUUCUAUGUUCAAUUGAGGUUAAGACAAAUACUGGACCGCAAGUCUUGUGGGAAGUCAUUUGUUUGGCUGCAGCUUGUGGAAUUCAAAGCUCAAGGAAAGUUGCAAACUCAGCUGGGUUGAAUCAGCUUCCUCUACGCCUACCUAGCCUUUGCAUGCUGUGUUUGGCUGGGGUGGGUGAUUCACUAUACCCUGCAAGUUUACUGAUAUUCAAUAAUGUUAUGAGGUCCUCAGUGAACUCACAUGAAUUGAGGAGAUACGUACUGCUGCUAUGACUAUUCUUCAGUGUUGCCAUCUCUGCCUGCUGGAAGUUCCAAGCUGUUUGUUGGGACGCUGGCACAUCCCUUUGGCAGCUGCUACCGGGCGCCUGUUUUCCUUCUUCAGUGUUGCCAUCUCUUCCUCUAUUUUCUCUCCUCAUUCCUAUGGAAAAAUGACUCAUUCCUAGAAAGCAAUACCCACGGUGUACGCCUGCUCAUAUAUUUCCCAAUUCUCCUCCGUCAACAACUCAUGCACUGAAUGGACUUGAGUUAACAUUGCAGCAGAGCUUUUUCUUC